GCAUUAAUGGGGUAGUGGUAACCUGGGUCGUUGCCACUGUUACAGUGCUUCUUCGACCCGCCGGGGGUUCGAUUCCCUCUUAAUGCA